CGGGUGAGUAACACGUAGGUGACCUACCCUUGUAGUCUGGGAUAACCUACCGAAAGGUGGGCUAAUACCGGAUAUGACCACGGAAGUUACGGCUUCUGGGUGAAAGAUGGCCUCUGCUUGCAAGCCAUCGCUCGAGGAGGGGCCUGCGUGCCAUUAGCUAGUUGGCGGGGUAAUGGCCCACCAAGGCGAUGAUGGCUAGCUGGUCUGAGAGGAUGACCAGCCACACUGGGACUGAAACACGGCCCAGACUCCUACGGGAGGCAGCAGUGGGGGAUAUUGCGCAAUGGCGAAAGCCUGACGCAGCGACGCCGCGUGGGUGAUGAAGGCCUUCGGGUCGUAAAGCCCUGUCGAGGGGGAAGAAACAGCUGUGGUCGAAUAGGCCGCAGCCCUGACGGUACCCCUAGAGGAAGCACCGGCUAACUCCGUGCCAGCAGCCGCGGUAA
rnacentral:rRNA from 1 species